AAACAUUAAAAUAAUUGGAGUAUGUAGAAAUAUACUUUUUUCUUCAAUCGGCUCCGGAUAAAAUACUACAGCCGUUGGAGCCGCAUUGACAACGGAUUUUAGGGUGCAUCCCGACGGAGGAAAAAAUAGCGGAACGGAACAGUUACGGAAAGGAGAUAUGGUGGGAGGUCAGCCAAUCAGAGCAAUUCCGUUUCAGUUCCGUUCCGAUUUUUGACGACUAGGCUCCUCACGUAUGAAUGUUUGACGUAACGAAAUUAAAACGGAAAAAUUAACCUCACUUUCGUGAAAUGUUUUCGUAGACAACACGUGUCCCAAGUGAGAAACAAAUUUAAAAAAAGUUUUCUGUCGAUCGUAUCAGUUUUUUAUGUUCAAGGAGCAUGUCGUCAUUGGUAAGUAAUAAUAUAUAAAUACAUAACAUGUGUUAAGAACGCUGUCUCACAUGUGUACGUUUUCACGUAAAUUCAAUAAAAUUAUAUUUUAUUAACUAGGACAGAUUUAAAUGUGGUUACUGUGGCUGGGUUGUUUGGCGUUACAAAAAUGAAAGAAUUUCUCACAGUUGCCUUGCAAACUGUGAUCACUUAUUCAUGGAUAACAAUAGAAACCUCUUUAUAGAUGAGACACAUUUGCAUUAGACAGAUAGCAACACUGCCAUUGAAAUAGAUACUGCUGAUAAAGAAAAUAUUGCUGAGAAUUUUGAAAGCACUGCCCACGAUAAUUUAACAGAAAACAUAGAUGAAGAUUUAAUAGCUACAGUAAAAGAGAGACCAGCCCUGUAUAACUAUCGAAUACUCGUAAAGGAACGAGGAAGGAAACAGAAAGAUCAUUUGUGGCAGGAAGUCAGCAACUGUUUAAAAGAGAAAAAAAGGGUUAAUGCAGAAGACUACGAAGAAGCCUAUGAAGCGUAUGACAAUGUAUCAGAGUUGUCUGAAAAUGUUCAACGAGUAGAAAACGAAUAUUUCGA